CAGACUAUAUGGUGCAGCUGACUGGUGGAAGAGAUGAGGCUGAGAAGACACGAAAGGCUUAUGGGAACACAGUAGGAGCAAGGGAAGGGCAGAGGGGCUUAUUUCAUAUAAGGGCUUCUUGUCGCCUGAACUAUGGUUGAAGUUCCCUCACAGAACAGAGCAGCUGGUCACAGCUCUGCCCAGGCAUUUCUGUGUCUGCAUCUUCCUGCUGUACUUGCAUAUCAAGAAGCAUUUCAGACCACAGGAAUGCAGGAUUCCAAGGCGCCAAUUUACCUUGGAAUUUGAAAAGAUGAUGGAAAUGAUGUUAAAGAAAAAGAAAAUUCGAGUGAUUUUCUUAUUUGAGGUCAAAAUGGGUCAUAAAGCAGUGGAGACAACUCGCAAAAUCAACAACACAUUUGGUUCAGGAACUGCUAACAAAUGUACAGUGCAGUGGUGGUUCAAGAAGUUUUGCAAAGGAGAGGAGAGCCUUGAAAACGAGGAAAACAGUGGCUGGCUAUAGGAAGUUGACAAUGACCAACUGAGAGCAACCAUGGAAGCUGAUCCUCUUACAACUGCGUGAGAAGUUGCCAAGGAACUCAGCGUUGAGCAUUCUAGAGUCUUUCAGCAUUUGAAGCAAAUUGGGAAGGUGAAAAAGCUGGAUAAGUGGAUGCCUCAUGAGAUGAGUGAAAAUUUAAAAAAAAAUAAAAUAAAAAACAAAAUUGUCAUUUUGAAGUGUCAUCUUCUCUUACUCUAAGCAACAACAACAAAUCAUUUCUCAAUCAGUUUGUGACGUUCAAUGAAAUGUGGAUUUUAUACGACAACUGGUGAUGACCAGCUCAGUGGCUAGACCAAGAAGCUCCAAAACACUUCCCAAAGCCAAACUUGGACCAAAAAAAGGUCAUGUUCGCUGUUUGGUGGUCUGCUGCUGGUCUGAUCCACUAUUGCUUUCUGACUCCCGGCGAAACCAUUACAUCUGAGAAGUAUGCUCAGCAAUUCAAAGAGAUGAACCGAAAACUUCAACCCCUGCAGUCAGCAAUGGUCAACAGAAAGGGCCCAAUUCUCCACGACAAUGCAUGAUCGCACAUUACACAACUAAAGCUUCAAAAGUUGAACUAACUGGGCUACGAAGUUUUGCCUCAUCCACCAUAUUCACCUGACCUCCCGCCAACCGACUACCACUUCUUCAAUCAUCUCGACAACUUUUUGCAAGGAAAACACUUCCACAACCAGUAGAAUGCAAAAAGUGCUUUCCAAGAGUUCACUGAAUCCUGAAGCACGGAUUUUUAUGCUACAGGAAUAAACAAACUUAUUUUUCAUUGGUAAAAAUGUGUUGAUUGUAAUGGUUCCUAUUUUGAUUAAUGAAGAUGUGUUUGAGCCUAGUUAUAAUGAUUUAAAAUUCACGAUCCAAAACCGCAAUUACUUUUGCAUCAGCCUAAUAUGAGGAAGUAAUAGUUGAACAGAAUAAUUCUUUCCUGGAAGUCUGGCAUUUUGCCUGGGGAGAAGGAUCAUUAAAAACUUAAACAUUUUAAUAAAACCAUUUAAACAAAAAAAAAAAAAAAAAAAAAAAAAAAAAAAAAAAAAAAAAAAAAAAAAAAAAAAAAAAAAAAAAA
rnacentral:lncRNA from 1 species